AGAAUCAACGCUGGCGGCGUGCCUAACACAUGCAAGUCGAACGAGAAAGUGGGAGCAAUCCCAUGAGUAAAGUGGCGCACGGGUGAGUAACACGUGACUAACCUACCCUUGAGUGGGGGAUAACCUAGGGAAACCUGGGCUAAUACCGCAUAAUACCUACGGGUCAAAGGAGCAAUUCGCUUUAGGAGGGGGUCGCGGCAGAUUAGUUAGUUGGCGGGGUAAUGGCCCACCAAGACAGUGAUCUGUAUCCGGCCUGAGAGGGCGCACGGACACACUGGAACUGAAACACGGUCCAGACUCCUACGGGAGGCAGCAGUGGGGAAUUUUGCGCAAUGGGGGAAACCCUGACGCAGCAACGCCGCGUGGAGGAUGAAGCCCCUUGGGGCGUAAACUCCUUUCGAUCGGGAAGAUAAUGACGGUACCGGAAGAAGAAGCCCCGGCUAACUUCGCGCCAGCAGCCGC
rnacentral:rRNA from 1 species